rnacentral:lncRNA from 1 species
GAGAAGAGGCACCGAAGCAUCAACUAUCUUGGAACUCUGCCAACUAGAACCUCGGCCUCAACUGACACAUCCAAACUAAUGGCUGAGUGUCUUUUUUAGCAGCAUCAAGCAACUCCUUUACAAUACCACCCAAAGUAAUUUUCCUGAAGAAAUUCUCCUUGUAUCUAACUUCAUUCAGGUUCUUGGGGCUUGCCAAAUAGCCAGCAAUGUGACCUUAACUUGGUCAGUUGACAUCUCUGGUCUUAAGUUUCCUAAUCUGCAACAUUUGAAGGUUUAUUUUCUAAACGUUUUUACUUUAGUACUAAUUUCUGUGAGACAAUCAAGCUAUUCAAUGUUAGGUUGAGGUAUGUAAAUCAUUCCUGCCAGCCUUUGUACGAGGUGGUUCUGGUAUCACUGUGGCCCAGCAUGUGUCUGUCUAUCAGUGUUGGCAGGCAAGGUCACUAAGGCUGGUUUGAAGUUUCUGUGCCUUGAAAUUUCUUAUGUCAUGGAGUCACCUGACAUUCAGAUCAAAGGCCGACUCCGCUCUAUGUUUGAUGAUCCUUGCAGCAAGCACAGAUCAAGGUUCCUGUGACCUGCAGCAAUUGGAUUACAAGAUUAGAUCAAUUUGCAAAGUACACCAAGAUCACAGCAGUUGCCAUCCAUUAGCCGCUGAGACAAGUGAUGUCACCUGCCAAUACUGUAGAUUGAAUAACCAGGGAAGGCUGAGGAAUGCAAGUGAAUGUAAAAACCACCUGGAGGGAAGCAUUGCAGCAAGAAAGGAACAGCAAGUGCAGAGGCCUGAGGCAGAACCAGCAGGGAAAAUGCUUUGAGGUUCCAUGAAAACCUGGAAGAAAUAUUCCUGAGGACCAUCCAACACCAUUUCCCUGAGAGACAAGCUGUAAGUGCUGUUCUAGUUACAGAUCCGAGUCCCUGGUACAUUGAUAUCAAGUAAGGGUGCAUGCAGCUCAGAAGGCAGUUUCCAUUACACUGGACAAGAGUGUGGCUGCCUGAGUCCUAGAACUGCAGUGGCUUCUGCUGACAAUGUGAGGAGUAGCUGCCCUGUCCAGAGUGUGGCCCCGCACGCUGCCCCCUCCCCUGGAGGGACUGAAGAGAACAGCUUGGAGCAUGCCCUUCCCUUUCCCUUAUCUCGCCCACUAUGCUAAUGCUGCUCAUCCCUCAAGAUCCGAGUUAUUCCUCCUCAAUUCAAUACACACCAAUCAACUG